rnacentral:rRNA from 1 species
CCUACGGGAGGCAGCAGUAGGGAAUCUUCCACAAUGGACGAAAGUCUGAGGGAGCAACGCCGCGUGUGUGAUGAAGGGUUUCGGCUCGUAAAACACUGUUGUAAGAGAAGAAUGACAUUGAGAGUAACUGUUCAGUGUGUGACGGUAUCUUACCAGAAAGGAACGGCUAAAUACGUGCCAGCAGCCGCGGUAAUACGAAUGUUCCAAGCGUUAUCCGGAUUUAUUGGGCGAUAAGCGCGAGCAGACGGUGGUUUAAGUACGAAGUGAGAGCCCACGGCUUAACUGUGGAAGUGCUUUGGAAACUGGAUAACUUGAGUGCAUGAGAGGAGAGUGGAACUCCAUGUGUAGCGGUGAAAUGCGUAGAUAUAUGGAAGAACACCAGUGGCGAAGGCGGCUCUCUGUACUGUAACUGACGUUGAGGCUCGAAAGUGUGGGUAGCAAACAGGAUUAGAUACCCUUGUAGUC